GAUUAAGCCAUGCAUGUGUAAGUAUAAAUAGUUAACUUUGAAACUGCGAAUGGCUCAUUAUAUCAGUUAUAGUUUAUUUGAUGAAGAAUACUAAUUGGAUAACCGUAGUAAUUCUAGAGCUAAUACAUGUAUAAAGUCUUGUAGACUGCAUUUAUUAGAAUGAAAACCAUAGGUUUCGGCCUAUUCGUGAGUAAUAAUAACUAAUCAUAUCGUAUGCUUACGUAACGAUGUGUCUUUCAAGUUUCUGCCCUAUCAGCUUUCGAUGGUAGUGUAUUGGACUACCAUGGC
rnacentral:rRNA from 1 species